GAUGAACGCUGGCGGCGUGCCUAAUACAUGCAAGUCGAGCGAACAGACGAUGAUCUUGCUCCUCUCACGUUAGCGGCGGACGUGUGAGUAACCCGUGGAUCCCCUCCCUGUAUGACUGGUAUAACUUCGGGAAACCGGCGCUAAUCCCGGAUAAUCUAUUGAUCCGUAUGGUUCAAUCGUGAAAGACGGUUUUUGUGUCAGUUGUCGCUGGAUCCGCGCCUCAUUAGCUUGUUGUUGGGGUAGCGGGUUACCAAGGCAACGAUGGGUAGCCGGCCUGAGAGGGUGACCGGCCACAUUGGGACUGAGAUACGGACCAGACUCCUACGGGAGGCAGCAGUGGGGAAUAUUGCACAAUGGGCGGAAGCCUGAUGCAGCAACGCCGCGUGCGGGAUGACGGCCUUCGGGUUGUAAACCGCUUUCGCCUGUGACGAAGCGUGAGUGACGGUAAUGGGUAAAGAAGCACCGGCUAACUACGUG
rnacentral:rRNA from 1 species